CAUGCAAGUCGGAACGGCAGCACGGGAGCAAUCCUGGUGGCGAGUGGCGAACGGGUNAGUAAUAUAUCGGAACGUGCCCAGUCGUGGGGAUAACGUAGCGAAAGCUACGCUAAUACCGCAUACGAUCUAUGGAUGAAAGCGGGGGAUCGCAAGACCUCGCGCGAUUGGAGCGGCCGAUAUCAGAUUAGGUAGUUGGUGAGGUAAAGGCUCACCAAGCCGACGAUCUGUAGCUGGUCUGAGAGGACGACCAGCCACACUGGGACUGAGACACGGCCCAGACUCCUACGGGAGGCAGCAGUGGGGAAUUUUGGACAAUGGGCGCAAGCCUGAUCCAGCAAUGCCGCGUGCAGGAUGAAGGCCUUCGGGUUGUAAACUGCUUUUGUACGGAACGAAACGGUGAGCUCUAAUACAGUUUGCUAAUGACGGUACCGUAAGAAUAAGCACCGGCUAACUACGUG
rnacentral:rRNA from 1 species